AGUAAACAAACAGAACAGGAUAUGAAUCGCACACACAAUAACUUUCUAUGUUCCAUGGUUGCUGGUAAGAAGUAGUCAGGCGUGGCUGAGUCGCUAAGGUGAGUCCAGGAGUAAGGUUGCUUAGGAGAACACUCGACAGUCCACACCAAUGGUGCAGGGAGGAAGUGUGCUGUUCUCGGGACGUUUGGCAGGUUAGACACCCUUCGGGGACGAGAAUGGCAGUAACAUUGCAAUGGGAAGUGAACUGUAAAAGUUGGGGGUUACCUCAGUCUCCCUGUUGCCUGAGAGGACUGUGGGAAGCGUUUCCAUCCCUGCCCAUGGUGCCCAUCGGAAGAGAGAGUGGAUGAAGAAGUGAAGUCUGGUUCAGGAUACGCCUGUCAACGGUGUCAUUUGUGCUCCUGCUGCGGAGAGCACCGAGUGGCUCAGCUCUGUAUCCUCCCAUCUUGUUUGGUCACUUCCCUGGCAGCACUUGAGUCCCUGUCACUGGUCUCUCUUAAAGUCCUGUCUCUUUGCUUCGAAGACUCUUAAAAGUUACUAUUCUUUAUUUCUUUUUAAAAGUUGGUUGUUGUCUGGAGACACGGUCUCUCUGUACAGUCCUGGCUGGCCUGGAAGUUACUGUGUAGGCUAGCCUUGAGCUUGAAGUGAUUCUCUUGCCGCUGCCUCUGGGUUCUGGGAUCACAGGCGUACACCACCACGUACAGUGCCCUCUCAUGACUUUUAGAAUCCAGCCCCUGGUGACGGUUUGGUUUUAGAUCUGUUAGCUUUGUCUGAAUUCCUCUUUGUCCUGCCGAGUAAAUCCUCUGCUCUCCUCAGCAGAAAUGCGUGUUCUCGAUACACACACAGCUAAAUAGUGAUGGUUUAUAGGUGGCCUCUGCUAUUAUGUAGAGCAUCUUUUUUGAAAGUAAUCUCCAGUUAGGUGGGCAUUUCCCUCACAGCAGUAGGAUUUUCCCCUUUGGGAGAAACCAGUUAUUAGAAGUUUUUCUUGUUAAAAUAAUGCUCUUAUGAGAAGAAAAAUUAAGGCAUUUGUUCUGCACUAACAGACUUCUAUUUGAUGGACACCUUGGACAGGUCUGUGGACUUGGGUGGGUUCCAGCGUGCUGAUAAGAAGGGUAACAGGAUUUAAUAGUGUCCUCAGGCCUUGCGUUCCUGGGGCACUCAAGAAAGAGUUCAUCACCCUGUCUAGGGCUGUAGGUCAGCGGUAGAGACUUAGCAGGCAUGAAGUCCAGUGUGCAGUGCCCAGCACUGUACAAAACUCGGGACACACCUACAACUGGAUGGUAUGCCAGACGCACAGAGGAAAUGCACAGCGAUGUGUUUAAAACGCAAGAAUGAAUACACGUUAGAACAUUGAGCUGGUGAUGGUGGCUGUUUAGUAAUGACCUCUUCCCCAGCAAAGAGCGUCCAAGAGCAGAGUGUCCCCAGCAGAGAGAAGGCAUUGGUGUACUUGUCCAGGUAACUUAGGUUUUAAAUCAGCAUAAGUAGUUAUUCUUUAAGGAUUUGUUUGAAGUUGCUCUUUUUGAGAAGUUGAGAGUUUUGUGUGCAGCUGGGCACAUGCUUGCCCCGCCCUGCCUUAAACCAUGACUUUCCUACUGUGAACCGGUGUCAGCCACACCAACACUCCAGGUAGGCCUGAGAGUCCCGAGCCCUUUCGAAGAAGGAAGGUCUUGAAGAGCGGCUGUGCUCUUGCGCUACCGUUGGCUGAGCUGCUGCUUGGCCGAGUCGUAGGCAUGGCGGUUGGGCACUGUGCUCUCUACGCGGCCAGCUGCAGUGUGCCCUCCCCGAGGACGAUACUUCACAUGAGGAUGUGGAGCCGAGGGAUGGCCGCACCGCAAGUCUGCUCACAAGUACUGGUUCUGCUUUCUUCACGUCCUAGAAGACUAAACUAGCAGUGUGCUUCAGCCCUGCUACCUUUUGAUACAUAUAAAAAUGUACUAGGUUUUACUAUAUACUGUGCUUCUCAAAGCCAUAACUCUUAAGAAACUUGUUUUUGCAUAUUGUUUGCUAAUACUUUGUUUUAAUAAACUUCAAAGGCUGCUC
rnacentral:lncRNA from 1 species